CAGAGUCGUUGGAACGGCAAUGAUUGGAUGGCGGGACUUUUUUUUAAAAAAAAAAGAGGCGCAGGUUCGAUGGAAAUACGGUAACUGGCGCUGCAGAUAUUUAUAUGCAUUUGUUCUGUCCGGAUCAGUUUAUUUGGAAUGGUGCAUGUUAAGUUGUGGUUAAACAUAUCAGACGACACAGCGAUUCUUCAAACAGCUGUUGUUUAUUCACAGGCCAGAACAGAACUGAACUGAAGGGUUCAGCCAGCCUGCUUAUAUUGUUGUUUAGUCGUUUAGUCGUGUCCGACUCUUCGUGACCCCAUGGACCAGAGCCCGCCAGGCCCUCCUGUCUUCCACUGCCUCCCGCAGUUUGGUCAGACUCAUGCUGGUAGCUUCGAGAACACUGUCCAACCAUCUCGUCCUCUGUCGUCCCCUUCUCCUUGUGCCCUCCAUCUUUCCCAACAUCAGGGUCUUUUCCAGGGAGCCUUCUCUUCUCAUGAGGUGGCCAAAGUACUGGAGUCUCAACUUCACGAUCUGUCCUUCCAGUGAGCACUCAGGGCUGAUUUCCUUCAGAAUGGAUACGUUUGAUCUUCUUGCAAUCCAUGGGACUCUCAAGAGUCUCCUCCAGCACCAUAAUUCAAGAGCAUCAAUUCUUCAGCGAUCAGCCUUCUUUAUGGUCCUGCUCUCACUUCCAUACAUCACUGCUGCGAAAACCAUAGCUUUAACUAUACGGACCUUUGUUGGCAAGGUGAUGUCUGCUUUUUAAGAUGCUGUCUAGGUUUCUCAUUGCUUUUCUCCCAAGAAGCAGGCGUCUUUGAAUUCUGUGGCUGCUGUCACCAUCUGCAGUAAUCAUGGAGCCCAAGAAAGUAAAAUCUCUCAUUGCCUCCAUUUCUUCCCCUUCUAUUUGCCAGGAAGUGAUGGGACUAGUGGCCAUGAUCUUUGUUUUUUUGAUGUUGAGCUUCAGACCAUAUUUUGCGCUCUCCUCUUUCACCCUCAUUAAAAGGUUCUUUAAAUCCUCCUCACUUUCUGCCAUCAAGGUUGUGUCAUCUGCAUAUCUGAGGUUGUUGAUAUUUCUUCAGGCAAUCUUAAUUCCGGUUUGGGAUUAAUCCAGCCCAGCCUUUCGCAUGAUGAGUUCUGCAUAAGUUAAAUAAGCAGGGAGACAAUAUACAGCCUUGCCAUACUCCUUUCCCAGUUUUGAACCAAUCAGUUGUUCCAUAUCCAGUUCUAACUGUAGUUCUAACAUGCCAGGUUAGGGAAGGCUGUUACAAGGGAUAACACUAAGGCUUCUCUACCUUUAAAAAUUGUACAGUCAAUAGGAAUUUGAGUGUGUUCCAGCUGUCAGUCAUGCAGGAGUGACAAAAGCUGCCUUUGCUUAAAUUCUUUCUCUCAAAAGAGACCUUUGUCCUCCUUUGUUUUUCCUUCAUUCUCUGUCUGUCUCUUUAAAAAAAGGGGGUGGGGAGGGGAGGGAGCUCUAAGCAAAGAAGGAAAAUGGGGUUGACAGUACCUUCUGCAGUCUAUCUUUGAGUCAAGGUGUCAAAGACCAACAAUACAAAAAAUCAAAGUCAAUUCUCUCCACCUCGAAUCUUCAAAAACCCCAUUGGACUAUCCUGCAUCUUAAGUUUUCAAAACUCGAUGGACAAAGAAAAUACCCUUAGAUCUCCCCAUAAACAGAAUGCUUUAAAUCCACAGCUGUGAAGUGAUCACAGAAAUCCAUAAAGGCUUAUAUUUUCAUGAAUUCUUACUUAACACACAAAAUAUCUGUGUUGGAGUCUCCUGUAGAGAGAACCAUCUGUGAUGUUAAACUGUCUUAAGCUUCCAACCCCAUCCCCCCUUUGUCUAAGCAAAAAAAAAUAAAAAAAAACUUGCUUCUUUGAUACCGCACAAGUAUGCGCACGCAAAAAGGCCUUGGCUUUUCUUUUCUUAAAAAGGCAUAUUUUAUUUUGCUCGCGACAUGAUGUGUUCCCAGCAAAGCGGUAGGUUUGGGAUAAUUAGCUCAGCGAAGCCUUUGCGGAUUCAAAUGUCUGGGCCAAGAGCUCUCUGGUGAAGCCAGAUGUCGCCCUGUUGAAAAUUUCCUAGCUCCUUGGUGGAGCUAGAAGCAGAAAGAUAUGUUUCGAUGAGUGACAUUCGUCGAAGUUUUCAAGGAAGCCUGGGUUUCUUUGGAUGCAUGAGAGGACGACGACAAUAGACAGUAAGUUUCCAUGAGAGAGGGACAUGGGUGGCACUGUGGGUUAAACCACAGAGCCUAGGACUUGCUGAUCAGAAGGUUGGCGGUUCGAAUCCCCACAACGGAGUGAGCUCCCAUUGUUCGGUCCCUGCUCCUGCCAACCUAGCAGUUUGAAAGCAUGUCAAAGUGCAAGUAGAUAAAUAGGUACCGCUCCGGCGGGAAGGUAAACAGCGUUUCCGUGCGCUGCUCUGGUUCUCCAGAAGCGGCUUAGUCAUGCUGGCCACAUAACCCGGAAGCUGUACGCCGGCUCCCUCAGCCAAUAAAGCGAGAUGAGCGCCACAACCCCAGAGUCAGCCACGACUGGACCUAACAGUCAGUGGUCCCUUUACCUUUUUCCUUGAGAGAAAGCAUGGCCUCCAAGGUCCAUUUUCCCUUGCUCUUUGCAGCCUCAGGAGAGUGCUGGUAUGUUCUAGGUUGUGAUCCCAGUUCAUGUGGAUCACUGGACCGCUUUUGCGCUCUUGAAAAAAGGAAGGGGUACAAUUUUAUUUGCUGCGUUUAUACCCCAUCUUUUCCUCUAAGGAACUCAAGGUGUAUGUCGUUCUCCCACAUUUCAUCCCACAAUAACCCUGCGAGAUCGUUUAGGCUGAGAAUUGGCAACUGGCCUAGAUUUCAAGAAGUAAAAUUCCUGACGCCCUCAAAGUUGGUGGACAGGGCGAGAGGCAAAAGUGGUCAGAGCGACAAUUGUGAUUGUUACCUUUAUACAGUAGAUUAGCAGUAUUGGAGCUCAAGGGCACAUUCCAGUCAGGCAAAAACCACUGAGGUGGGUACUAAGCAAGUUGGGUGUGGGGUUUUGCUUAGGGAGAGAGACCUGGAGUAGCCCAUUCAUCCUCCUGGACUGAGGUUCCACAUCCUUGCUCUAGAAGGUGAGAAUGUGGAGAGCUUCCUUAGCAUUUUAUAGCACCUGCAAAUAAAGAUGAGCUUGCUGUGAGACCGUAGGCAAGUCUCACGGGAGCGUGUUGGUCAGUAAUCUCACAGUUCAAAAAACACAAUCGCUACAGACUUAGUUUGAGUGUCAGGCCUAAUCAUAGCUGUCAACCGUCCCUUAUUUGGCAGGAAAGUCCCUUAUCCCAGCGCUGUGUCCCGCUGCUGUCCCUUAUUGAUGAUGUCCCGUAAAUUUCCCGGGUUUCAAAGGAAGCAGCUCCUCUCCCUCCCUUCCUGCUGGCCAGGGAGGCUCCAACUGUGUUGCUUGGCUGCGUUGCUCACGAACGACUGGGGGGUGGAGCUUGCAUGCCUUGUGCCGAUCAAAUCGGCCGCGUUGCCUGGGGACUCGCCUUUGCUCAGCGCUUCCCAGCGGAGAGAUGACAGUGGUUUCCCUUGCUGCAUCCCCUUUGCCGGGUUGCUGUGCUGUGGGAACCACUGCUUGAGGUUUCGUUUGGCUGCUGGCUGGGCUUUCUGCCUUUGGCUCGGAGGGGCUCCGAAGUUGAACAUACCUGUGCUGAUCCCUUAUUUUUGAGGCUGCUGGUCCCUUAUUUUCAAAUCUGUAAGUUGACAGCUAUGGGCCUAAUGAAGAAAGCAGCUCAUUCGCGGGGGUCUUCCUCCAUGAGAAUCAGUUGCCAACACUGAAAGUCUCUGCCUCGUCACCAGGGCUUUCCCCAAGCAAUCGGAGACUGUGCCUGCAUGCAGACAACCUCUGCUCCGCCCUUUCCAUGCCUCUUCUGGUUAUGGGAGAGCAGCAAGGGAAGGGAGCUUGUCGUAGCACCAUUCCUCUGCAUCCAGCCCGUCUGUGACACAGAAACAUGCACCCUCCACAUUGCGAUAUGAAGAGAAUAGUUCUGAACUACCUUACGAGGCUGCUGUAAAAAUUGCACAGGGGUUGCCAACAUGGCAAUCAUGGAUUCACACGUGCUCUCAGAGCCCUUUUCUGGCAGCCACAGGUCACCUCUCCUUGCUUAAAUCAGCCUUGAAAGAAGCAGAAUCAGUCCUGGAUUCCAGCACGGUAAUAAUGUGCAUGAAGCCCUUUGAACCCCAAAGCACUGUAGAGUAUUGUUCUUGUCUGGCGUUUUUUCCUGGCAUAUAUGAAAAAGGACUUGUGAACAAAAGCACCCCCCUGUGUUCCAGAUUAAUGGAUGCUCACAUUCCCCAUAUGUCGUAUUGCUUUGCAAUUUUUAUCCGGUAUGAAGUCUUACGAGGUCGGCUGUCAGAUACUAAGUGCCACCGCGUGCCGCCAACUAUCAAGCUCAGCGUUACAUGCCAAGCCUUGUCAAACACCGACUGUCAAAUAUCAAGCCAUGGAAUGAAACGGAACUGGCUGCCAAAUACAGGCAAUAUUUGGCAAAUAUUGAAAUAGGCAGAGCAUCCAGUGAGUAUUCGAACCUUGAAAUCAGAUGUUAUCAGACGCCAAAUGCAAACAACGUUUGGCAAAUCUUGAAAUAUGCAAAACAUCUCGUGACUAUUCAACUUUGGGAGAGGAGUAUUCUAGACUCGUGCACGGUCUCGGGGGUGCCAAGACCUCUUCAGUUUUCCUUGUCAUUUUAUGCAAUAAUCUUGCACGUUCCUUGUAAUAUGAGUUAUUAGUCCGCAUCAGAAAAACGUUCCAAUCGGUCGGAGCCCAUUAGAUGUUCCUGUUCCCACCAGGAUGUUAAAGUCACCCUACUUAGAAGGGAUGAUUGCUCAUUAACCCCACUUUUACUGCUCUUUCCGACUACACUGAUGACACGCUUAAUGACUGCGGCAGCCUGAUAAAUUGGACAACGACCAUUUACGAUGUCAGUGUGACAUUCAAGAGCGUGUAUACAUGACUUCAAAGGACAUGAUGCGGGCUGUAAUUUGCAGCUCCAUUCACGUUGGCUGUAGCCCAUUGGCAAUAAGUCAAUGAGACAGUGACACUAAAUCAAGGAGACAGCGUGGUGUAGUGGUUGGAGUCUGAGACUAGAACCUGGGACACCAGGGUUCAAAACUGUUGAUGAAGGGCAAUAUCAUCAUCUCGUCAGCUUCCUGCCAGUCCUGACAAAUGUCCCAAAAUGUCUUGGGCUGGCUCUGCAAUUCAGUAGGUCUGAACAAUGUCUGGCUUUCAAUAUAAUGAUAUAUCACCAAGUAAACAUCGUGAUACACCAAUAUAUCACAAUGUCUGAAAAAAGGAUGUAACAGUGGAGAGGCAAACAGGGCAAUGUCCUGGAAACGGCUACUGCUUAGGGGUCUAAAACUAAUUUAUUUUUAUUUACCUUUAACAUAGUGUUACAACUGUUAUUUUUUAGUACAGAUCAACAGGGGCAACAUAAAUCCUGAGAAAAGCAGUGACUGGCUUCACGGUUUUCCCCACCUCAUGAUUUUUUCACAUAGCGCACACACACACAUUGCGAUUUGCAAUAUAUCACCAUGUUGAAUAUUAUGAAACUGUUACCACGAUGUGUACUUGAAACCGAUUUUUGGUGAUGUAUUGAUAGAUUGUCCAGCCCUACCAGUCAGCAUGGUUGAUGGUGAGGGACAAGGCUGGUCAUGACAUUUUGGCACCUGAGGCGAAUCACAAAAUGGCGCCCCACUCCCCACUAGGGAAAAAGGGGUGAGAGGAGAUCUACAUUAGGAACAAGGGGGUAAUAAAGAUCUUUGUCGGAAUCUGCUGUCUCUCUGGCUCCUCUCACCUUGGUUUACCUCAUGGGUGGGCCACCCCGGGUGAGGGAUUAGUCCAGCUGGAGGCCACCACAAUAGUGGUGAGAUAGCUUAUGAAGGAAGGUGCUUUUCACUCAGCUAGCAUUAUCUUCUCUGGUUGACAUUGGCUUUCCAGACUCUUGAGCUGAGGCCCAUCUCAUCCUGCUUCCCGAAAUAUUUUUUCUAGAGAUCCCAGUAAUUGAUCCCAGGCCCUCUCUCAUACAAAGAGGUGACAACCUCAAAUAAGUGCAUAGACCCCCAUUUUCAAUGUGCUCGAACGUUUUGUUUUGCCAAAGUAAUGAGCACAGCUUCUGCAUGUACCAGUAGAUGGCACUCCUGGGCUAAACUCUGAAAACUCUUGUAAAUUAAAAACCCAAGCGAUUAUGACAUAUUAUGGCAAGGCCUUUACUGAGGUCAUGUAAAAACUGCCAAUGAUCAAAUAUAUGGUUUGGCAUUCUCCCCUCGUAUCCCAGUCACAGUAUUUAAAAUAGCAAAGGCCUGGGGUGCCUUAGUUCUUGCAUUCAGGUCCUGUCACCUCAAGUCGGACAAUCCCAUGCAAGCCCCCCAAUAAAGACAACCAAUCAUCAUUUAUUUUAUUUUAAAAAUAAUUUUGAAUUAGUUUUACAUAAAAGUUAUACACCACUAACCUAACAUUUUCACACAUUAAAGAAAAUGGUUCUUUUGAACCUUGAGUCCUCCUUCCUUCGCUCCAUGGGUUCCAAUUAUAAAUUUUAUUCCUGCACCUUCUACUGUAAUCUAUCUGUUAUAUAAUCAUAGUAUCCAAAAUUCAUGUUGCAUUACAGGUGUCAUUGUAUUCCUGCCAAUGAUUUCAACUGUUUACAGUGAUCUCUCAAAUAUGUUAGAAAGUUAUUCCAGUCUUUUUAAAAAUACUUGGUCUUCCUGAUUUCUGAUUUUUUCCGUCAGUCUUGCCAUUUCUGCAUAUUCCAUCAGCUUGAUCUGCCACUCUUCUCUGGUCGGAACUUCUUCGUCUUUCCAUCUCUGGGCAAGAAGCAUCCUUGCUGCUGUUGUUGCAUACAUAAGUAUUCUUUUAUUUUAUUUUGGUAGUUCUGCACCUAUAACCAAUCAGCGUUAUUAGUAGCAGACAAAAUGGACUAGUGGCCAUUUUGUCCUGCGGGACACUAUUGCUUCCUGGACCUCCCAUCACCUCCAUCGCUGUAGCUUAACAGGAGGCGGUAUCAAGGAGGUCAGCAUGGUGCAAACACACCCAUGGGAGCACUGUAUUGGCUCUGCCAGAGUGUUUGCACCAUGCCAUCACCUUGCCAACAAAGAUCCGUAUAGUUAAAACUAUGGUUUUCCCAGUAGUGAUGUAUGGAAGUGAGAGCUGGACCAUAAAGAAGGCUGAUCGCCAAAGAAUUGAUGCAUUUGAAUUAUGGUGCUGGAGGAGACUCUUGAGAGUCCCAUGGACUGCAAGAAGAUUCUUUUUUUUAAAAAAGAUAUUUAUUAAAAUUUUCAAGAUAUUACAAAAUGAAAAAAGAAAAAAGAAAAAUACAAAAUAAAAGUAGUUAAAAACAACUCAAUCUUUUCGUUACUUAUCUUUCAUUAGCUUGUUUCCCGGACCUCCUCACGCCUCCGUUUUUGUAUUCCAGUUCAAUUUGUUAGUUCAGCAAAUCCUUCCCCUCUUUGUUUAUCCUAGUCCUUAAUCUUAAAAUAUUGUAACAUUAAAUUUUUACCUGUUAGUAAUCCAUUUUUCGUAUUCCCUUAUAGUAUUACAGCUAAAAACCACUUAAUUUCUAUCCAACAUCAUUCUAACAUUCAUUAAUUUUACAAUAUUUCUGUAAAUAGUCUUUAAACUUUUCCCAAGAAGAUUCAACCUCUCCAUUCUGAAGGAAAUCAGCCCUGAGUGCUCACUGGAAGGACAGAUCCUGAAGCUGAGGACCCUGAUGGUGGAAAAGAUGGGGGGCACAAGGAGAAGGGGACGACAGAGGACGAGAUGGUUGGACAGUGUUCUCGAAGCUACCAGCAUGAGUUUGACUAAACUGCGGGAGGCAGUGGAAGACAGGAGUGCCUGGCGUGCUCUGGUCCAUGGGGUCACGAAGAGUCGGACACGACUAAAUGACUAAACAACAACAACAACAAACUCACUGUCCCCUUGACCCUCCCUGUAAGCCGCAGCAAUGCCAGUGACGGGAGGUCAGGUAAGUGCUGCCACCCUGUCCUGCUGAAUGCUGUUGCCACCCUGUCCUGCUGAAACUGUAUCAUGAGGCGGCUUGUCUCUCCUGGAUCCGGGAAUGGCCGACAUUAAAAAAUACUGACUUGCUGGAUCUAGAAGGAUUCAAUCAUACAUAUGGCUGGCAUGCCUACCUAGGAUAUGAGAAGGUCGAAGUCCACAAAGGCUUCUUGAACCAUGUGGUUAGGAAAUUGUUUUAUAUGGUUUAGGAUAAGUAUAAGGACUUUCUAGAACCAAAAACUCCAUGGUGGCUUUCCCUGACAGAAGCAUUUUCCGUUAAAACAAACAAACAUGCGAGGUAAUUGAGCAACUUAUAAAGAUCUAUUGGAGGAAAAAGAAAACAGGCUAAAUUUUUAAGAAAUUAAAGAAAGAAAUUUAGACCUAUUUGACUGAUUGGUUGCAAUAUUUCCAACUACAUGAAACAUUUCAGAAGGACAAACAGAAAGACUUUUCCACAGAAAUUUCAAGACUUGAGAAAGAUCUAAUUCAAACACACACAAAACCACUCUCUAAAAUGUACAGACUUCUUGACUGGGAGGUCGAGGAGGAAGAAGUAAAAUCUGUUAUGAUACAAAGGGCCAGAGAUUUUGAUUAUAACAUCCAAAUGGAAUCAUGGGAAAGGUUAUGGAGGGAGGACCUGAAAUUCACUGCAUGCUAUGAUUUGAAAGAGAAUUUCAUGAAAAUCCUCUACAGAUGGUACUUAAUACCUGUAAAAUUGGUCAAAAUUUACAAAUCCAGGUCGAGCGUCUUUUGGAGAUGCAGGGAGACGGAAGGCACUAUGAUCCACAUGUGGUGGAAUUGCAAAAAAAGGGGAAUUUUGGGGAACACUAUAUAACGAGCUUAAAAAAAUGUUUCAAUGUUCUUUCCCUAAGAAGCCUGAAGCCUUGCUGCUGGGCAUGAUGAGUAAAGAAAUUCCAAAAAGUGCAAGGAGAAUUUUUAUGCAUGUGGUAGCAGCAGAAGAAAUUCUAAUUGCCUCUUAAUUAAAUUGGCAGAACAAAAUGUUAGAAUAUGCAGAGUUAGCAAGAUUCUGAGACCAUACAGACCAAAUAUUCAAUAGAGAGUGGAAUAUUUACAGAGAAUACCUAAAAGAACGUUGUAGAAAUCUGAAUUCUUUGGCAGGC
rnacentral:lncRNA from 1 species